CUUGACAAAAUAUAAGAGGUCCAGCCUGCCCAGUGACUCUGUUUAACGGCCGCGGUAUCCUAACCGUGCGAAGGUAGCGUAAUCACUUGUUCUUUAAAUGAGGACUAGUAUGAAUGGCAUCACGAGGGUUAUACUGUCUCCCUUUUCUAAUCAGUGAAACUAAUCUUCCCGUGAAGAAGCGGGAAUAAAGCUAUAAGACGAGAAGACCCUAUGGAGCUUUAAACAAAAUAACAAUUGCUACUAUCAUUAUCUAUUUCAGAAAUUUAAAUUUUAUCUUAGCAUUAUGAUUAUUAGUUUUAGGUUGGGGUGACCGCGGAGUAAAAAUUAACCUCCGCAUUGAAAGRAUAAUUUCCUAAGCAAGAAGUUACGACUUUAUGCAUCAACAAAUUGACAUUAAUUGACCCAAUAUUUUGAUCAACGAAC
rnacentral:rRNA from 1 species